AUUGAACGCUGGCGGCAGGCUUAACACAUGCAAGUCGAGCGGUAGCACAGGGGAGCUUGCUCCCUGGGUGACGAGCGGCGGACGGGUGAGUAAUGUCUGGGAAACUGCCUGAUGGAGGGGGAUAACUACUGGAAACGGUAGCUAAUACCGCAUAACGUCGCAAGACCAAAGAGGGGGACCUUCGGGCCUCUUGCCAUCAGAUGUGCCCAGAUGGGAUUAGCUAGUAGGUGGGGUAAUGGCUCACCUAGGCGACGAUCCCUAGCUGGUCUGAGAGGAUGACCAGCCACACUGGAACUGAGACACGGUCCAGACUCCUACGGGAGGCAGCAGUGGGGAAUAUUGCACAAUGGGCGCAAGCCUGAUGCAGCCAUGCCGCGUGUGUGAAGAAGGCCUUCGGGUUGUAAAGCACUUUCAGCGAGGAGGAAGGUGGUGAGCUUAAUACGUUCAUCAAUUGACGUUACUCGCAGAAGAAGCACCAGCUAACUCCGUG
rnacentral:rRNA from 1 species